UCUCCGUAGGUGAACCUGCGGAGGGAUCAUUACAGAGUUCGUGCCCUAACGGGUAGAUCUCCCACCCUGUGUUAUUAUACCUUUGUUGCUUUGGCGGGCCGCCCUCGGCUACCGGCCCCGGCUGGUACGCGCCCGCCAGAGGACCCCAAACUCUGAAUGUUAGUGUCGUCUGAGUACUAUACAAUAGUUAAAACUUUCAACAACGGAUCUCUUGGUUCUG
rnacentral:misc_RNA from 1 species